rnacentral:rRNA from 1 species
AGUAAUGUAUGGGGAUCUGCCUGAUGGCGGGGGAUAACUACUGGAAACGGUAGCUAAUACCGCAUAACGUCGCAAGACCAAAGAGGGGGACCUUCGGGCCUCUUGCCAUCGGAUGUGCCCAGAUGGGAUUAGCUAGUAGGUGGGGUAACGGCUCACCUAGGCGACGAUCCCUAGCUGGUCUGAGAGGAUGAUCAGCCACACUGGGACUGAGACACGGCCCAG